rnacentral:rRNA from 1 species
UACGGAGGGUGCAAGCGUUAUCCGGAUUCACUGGGUUUAAAGGGUGCGUAGGCGGGUUAUUAAGUCAGUGGUGAAAGCCUGCAGCUUAACUGCAGAAUUGCCAUUGAUACUGAUGAUCUUGAGUAUGAUUGAGGUGGGCGGAAUGUGUCAUGUAGCGGUGAAAUGCUUAGAUAUGACACAGAACACCGAUUGCGAAGGCAGCUCACUAAGCCAUAACUGACGCUGAUGCACGAAAGCGUGGGGAGCAAACAGG